rnacentral:misc_RNA from 1 species
UGUGGGAGCGGGCUUGCCCGCGAUGAGGGUGUGUCAGUCACCUUAAUGAGCGCCUGAUACACCGCUAUCGCGGGCAAGCCCGCUCCCACA